GUAACAGUGAUAGGCAAUUAAGAAAAACGUUAAGAGAAUUUGCUCCUGUGAGGUGUGACGAUCAAACAGAGACUGAUGCUAUCUACCACCCCCUCACCUGCUGGUCCACUUUGCUCAUCCUUGACUAAGCUUUCCCCACAUUCACUCCUGCUCCUACUCUGCUUGGCAGGUUACCCCAGUCGCAGACAGAAUGGGCCCAGUUACUAGAAUCUCAGCAGAAGUAUCAUGACUCAGAGUUACAAAAAUGGCGUGAGAUCAUCAAAUCCUCCGUGAUGCUUCUAGACCAGAUGAAGGAUUCACUAAUAAAUCUCCAGAAUGGCAUCGGGUCCCGGGACUUCGGGUCAGAUCCAGAGGAGAAACGGAAACGUUUCCACUAACAGGCAGGAAUGCAGGAGGCCAGAGGACGGUGUGCAAUAUGUGUAAAUAGGAUAUAUAAAUAUAUAUAUAUAUAUAUAAAUAUAUAUACAGAAUAUAAAUAUAUAUAUUAUAUACAGAUUUUAAGAGAAAAAAAAAAAAAAGCCUACGUACCGAGAGGAAGGACUGACCUCCAACACUGGCUGAAAUGGAGUGUCUCAGUGGUAGUGUGGGGUGUGUGUGUUGCGUGUGUGUGUGUGUAUGGGAGGGCUGUGCUCUCCUGGCACUGAGGUGUGCUUAGGAAUGCACCCAAGUGUGCUACCCUGGGCCUGUUUGCACCACUGUUCUGUAAUAUUCCUGGCUGUUCGUCUGUCUGUCUGUCUGUUUCUGUUGUUUCAAAGGGAAGCAUCAGAGUGAAUGCCCCUCCCCUCCCUGCGCAUGAAGGUCCCUGACUGAUGAUAUGUAUCUACACGUAUAAAGGGAACACUGUCAACUUUCUUACCUUGCUGGCUUCAGGGCAGAGAGGUUUUGGCAAUCACCAUCGAUCCCUUAUGAAACGAUCCCCCGAUUGGAGAGGAGGCCUCCAGAGGAAUUGCUGUAGGGCUGUGGAGAGCAGGUCUCCCUGGCAAUCAUCUUCUACGUCUCUUGGAGCAGAAAUGCAAUUUGCUGCCAUGCUGGCCAGCCUGGUUCAGAGAGCAAAGCACAGAAUGUAAACGAGCCUGAAAUGAUUCCUCCAAACACUUAGUUUGCCUCCUCCUGUAAUUGAUAGUGCAUUAAUAGCUGAGGAGAUGGCGGGGAGCAGGAGUGUCUGCCCACACGAUGCUCGGAAGGGGGGGAGCCACACUGCAGAAAGCACACUUCCAUUUCUUUUGACAGUGUCCCCUUUACUUUUGCUGUGGUUCUCUGCUUUCUGUGUGCUUGGGCCCCUGCCAUUAAGCCAUCCCCGUGCUGAAGAUCUACAUCGGUGCUGAUAAGGGCUGCCUGUGGGACUUCUCACAACAGGGAGAGUGCCCCAGCUACAAAAGAAAACCAAAAUGAGUAUUUAUAUGUGAGCACUCCUUCCUGCCAGGCUGUGUGCUGUUAGCACAACGUGGAGUGGGAGAGCUAAGGAAACAGCAGAACUACUCUUGGUGUCCUGCUUGGUAAAUUCACCUCUCAUCCCUGGUCUGCGAGAUCAUUUUGUUCAUACCUCUUAGCCUUCAUCUUUACUUCUGAGCUACGUAGGAAAACAAAUUAUUUUCCUUCAGCGGUGACAGCAAAAGGAUAUCUUUGCUUUUGAUACUUACAUGACUGCAUCUACAGCUGCAGGGCCUCCGUCAGCCUAGGAGAGAUUAGGAAGGGCCCCAAGGAACAAAAAAGAAGACAGAAAAAGUACUGCCAAGGGGCGUGGGAUAGACCUGGCUGUUAUCCACAGUGUAAGGUAGUGACUGGGAUCUCUCCUAAGCUAGAUAGCACUGCAUUGGCUCCCUAAGCAAGUCAGGUGGCAGACCUGCAUUAAAAAAAACAGCAUGCAUUUUUACUACUUUCUAGGGCAUUUCUCCAGAUUCCCAUUAGCAGCCACAUGAGGGAAAGAGGGACUGUGCACUGGGUGGGAUGGGGGGUGCCCAAGUAAGCAAUUAAUAAAUGCUUUCUCAUCUUACCCAGCCCGGUAGGGUAGGUGACAUGCAAGGCACUCAGUCUCCACCUUUGUCGAGAACCUUUGUUCAGAAGCAGGACAUGUCCACUCCUAGAUGGCAGGAAGGAGUCAGCUGUGUGUUCCCACAAGAAAUGGUGCAGGUCUCAUGUGUCCGUUGGUCUCUAGCUCGAAUUGGCACUGAAAGAGAAGGGGACAUAAGGGUGAGUGAGUGUUUUUUUGCAUCUUAGUAUAGCAGGAAUCCACACAGCUGAGGAAAACCCUCACAAGCUCCAGCUUAUGCAGCCCAACCAGGGCAAGGUACUGCCAUUAGAAGUAACCUUCAGUCUCCCAGCCUGCCUCAUAAUUAAAUGACCAAAUGCUAGAAACAGCAUGACAUAGAGAAGAAGACUAACAGGUUACUGAAUGCUCUUAAAAGACUCUGAAAGCAAGGUACAAUUGGCAAUGCCUUGGGAACUAGGGAGUUACUUGUAUUGAUGACUGUUUGAUUUCGUGCUGCUGACUACUAUGCUGCUCCCUGACUUCUUCCAGGGGUGCUGCUGAAAUGGCUGCUAUACAACAAAUCUGAGCUGCUAGAGCCUGAGAAGGGCAUUCUGCUGCUCUCACCUUGGGACCAAGGGGCCCCAGUUCCCUGCUGCUGACUUGCCACACUGGCUGAGAUGCCCCUUCGCCACUCCUGUGUUGCUAAGCACAGAAAAAUGCUUUGCAGCCCAUCUUCCCCACUUUUGGUAUUUAAUUCCAUAGAGCAGGAAAAAAAUAAAGAGAGAGGAAGGCCUAUGUUUGCUGCCUUGCCCUUGCCAGAAAAGAAGAAGCAAGAGAAAGAAACCUGGAAUGUGGGUCUUGGCAGCAUGGCCAGCAAACUUCUGUACAUACACAAACAGAACCCAGCAGAGGACAGAAAACCCACGUGUCUGAAAAGGUCCAAAAUAAAUGCCAGUAGCUAGAGCUGGCUGCUUACCAAGCUGACAUUCUCUUGCUGGUUAUGGAGGCAAGAAAUCCCUUUGCUCGCAUGUGCAUCCUCCUUCCUCUGCAGCAUCUCUGCAGACUGCGGUCACGUUGGGUUCUGGAUGUUCCCACUGGUACAGCUUCCUUGGGCUUGGCCUUAGAGACAAAUUAAUGUGAGGUUGCACACAGGCAGCUGUAAAAGUAUUAAGCACUACUAUUCAUUUUGCCUGCAUGUUAAACUGGGUUUAACAUGUCUGACAGAAAUAAUCUGUCCAGCAAGUGGAGCUGGGUUUGGAUUUGCUGAAUUUUGGCAGCUACAAAAGAGACUGUCAAAGAAACAUGGCUCCAGCCAAACGUGCACAUUCAUGCCAACAGAGAGUAACCUAAUUUGUGCCAAGUAAGAUGCUACCUAUCAGCAGGAGGGAGAUGACAAAGCCAUCUUGCCCGUUAGUCUAUAUCACCUGCUUCUGUAGGAGAAGAAUGCAUCACUAAUCCUAGCUUGACAGAAUUUUAAUAAAUACAUACCUUCUAAUGGUUACCUAAAAGGAAACGUUUGGGUUAUGGCAUCUGAGAUGAGCUCAAGGUGAAUUUGAGCACUUUUCCCAUCAGACAGACCGUUUGUUUCAGAAGCUCACUUGGGUGUAGAUGGGGACAUACUUCAGCCUGCUCAUCCCUCAGCACAAAACUACCUAGCCUGCACAAAUAUGCUUUUCCCCACCUUUAUAGGAGCCAGUAGAAAGUUCAUUUUCCAAUUAGCAACUGGGAACACUUAGUGCCAGUACUUAAGAUGAGACCUUUUGGAUAUGCUCUGCAGUGAUUUCUGUGCAGACACAGAGGCUUCACAGUGUGCUGAGUGCAGUCCCUCCUUGUCCCAUGGCCCUUAUCCCUCUUCCUUUCCUGCUAGCUUUGCCUUCUCAGAUCUGUAUUUCAGAAGCACCUGAAGAGAGGGGACAGAGAGGGCAGCCUGCAGCUUGCACCCUAUCCAGCACCAGGAAAGAGCUCCAGGCUGAGGUGGUUCUCUCCAUACUACUCAGAGUGGGAAAACUUUUGAGGCUCUUCUUCCUCCUGGGUUCAUUUACAUAGAGUUCAUUUACAUCAAGUUAGAAAGCAAGUUCACACGUAUGACAAACCCCUCUGUGAAUGCUGGUCCCCAGGCCUACUGCAGUGAUCUGGGAAGAGGCUCUGACCCCAAAAGGUAUUCCUUUAUAACGUGUGGCUAACUAACAUGCUGAGUCCUACUCUGCUGCCACUGUGAAGAGGCCAUGCUCUCAAGAGUACUUCUCUACAAGAACAUCCCUAGUGCAUUUCUAUGCUUGCUCCCAGGUGAGGUAUGUACCAAACUACCCAUUUUCCAGCAUACAAUCAGGUAGCUCUCUAUCUGAGUUUCCUUUUCCCAACCAGGAUAACAGGCUGACGACUUUCUAAUUUAAAAGCUAGGAAUUUCUGGUUCCACAGAACACUGGAAGUGGCACAGAGCUGAAGCUGCAUUGCUCAGUGCUCGCAGCACUGCUGGCUAGGGGCAGGAGGGGCAAUUCUGUCAUGUUUCUCAGGGCAGCUGGCAGAACUGUGUUGGCAGAACUCUGAAGUAUGUGCUCAACAUAGAGAUCAUUCCAGCAGGGUCUGCUGCCAUUGAGAAGUUUCAUGGUGGGUUCGUGUAGAUUCUGGCUCAGUCUUUUCAGACAGUCUCAGUACUAGUUUAAAUAUCCAGCAGGGGCUUGCUUAAAAACAACUCAAAACAGAGACUCUUAAACCAAAGCACCUGAGGUAAGUAGCUUGCAAAACAUUUGUAUCAGUGUAGUUGCUGAGGUGUAACUGUGCUGACUUUCUGGCCCGUUCCCUCUGCCUGGCAUGCUCUGAUCCCUGUGCUUUGCACCCUCCCCUGCACGAUUCUCUUUGUGCCAUAAUACGUUUCUUUUUUAGAUGUGCACACUGGCCAAAUAAUAUCCUCAUGUCUUUAUUGACUGCCGACUGAGAUUAUUCCCUGACCUAGCCAGACAGCAUGGGCUUCAACCCUCUGCAUGGAUCCUGGUGGGCCAUGCUCCCCUCUCCCACACGUUUUGCAGGGCUUGCUAUGGCUUUUCCCUCUCCCCACACACCUCUGCUGCCGGACAAUCAUUCCCUUUGUCAUGGAUGGACUGACCUGGUGCUGUCCCCGCUUGCCUUCCCUUGAUGCAGUCUGUACGCCCUUUAAGUGAAUGUGUUUUGUUUGUUUUCUUAUUUUCUUCAGUAGGGAAAAGACUUCCUUCUGCGGAAGGAGUUAUAUUUGCACAUGGCUCAGGGAGGUACCUCCUCUGGCCGUUUCUGUUACCUCACUCAUGUAGGCCAAUUCCAUUGCUAACGUUAAAUGGCCACCCUUCCCCAACCCAAACUCCAAGAAUCGUUAGGGAAUAAAACAAAUGUGCAGCUCAGGUUCUACAGCCGCUUGGUCGUGUCUCAGUCUUGGCCCAAAUUGCCCCAGCAGUGUAAGGAGGUGGGAGAACGGCUGUUGCAAAGCAGCUCUACCCAGCAAAGAGGUGGAGCCUGCACCACACACGUGCAUUCCAGUCUUUGCAAGCCCACCUCCCUUGGGAUAGCACUUCGCAGAGCAGAUACAGCAGCACUAACCUGGCUCUUGGCCCGACGAGCUCAGAGCAGAGGGAGGAGCAGCAGAACCAUCGCAGCGUACAUCUCUGACCACCAGGACUGGCACUGUGUGGCUGUGGCACCUCUGGGACAUGGUCACUCUCACUGCAGUUCAUCUCAUCACGCGCUCCAGGGCUGGGUAAAGCUGCUAUAAACACCCUGGAGUGUGUUCUGCCCACCUGAGCCCCACAUCCUGCAACCCCGAUCGCUGCCGCAAUUGCAGAUUAAUGAGGAUCUCCUCGUGUCAGCAAGGCGAGGGAACGGUCAUACAGAAACCCAUGGGUGUGCAUUCCCCUUCUGGAUUUCAGCACCAGGGCCAGGGAAGCAGAGGGCUGUUGGCCACAGCCUGCAGCACCGCCAUGAACUUCAGGGUGGGCUGGGGGAGGACCCGUGGUUUUGUUUUAGGAGUUGUUGAACUGUCAUCAGGUUUGCGCUGUGCGCAAAACGCGAGGAAAUGAUGAUGAAACUUACCUGCUAGAACCUAGGAAUUGUAAAGGCUAUGCAGCCAAAACUCCAUGUAAGUAGCUAGUACAAUGGAAGUACGGUAUAAAUUAAACAGAAGUCUAUCAAACAACAGUGUGACUCGUGAGUGCUUUGUUACUUUUAUUGUCCUGCCUGCUUCUGGUCUUUUCUGUCAUUUCCAAAUACACAGAGAGGGUCUCUUCAGGUACCAACCAGGACCGUCUCUCCCAGGACAUAAACCUGCCUUUAAUGCUGCCCUUGAAAUAAACCAACUGUUUUUUUGUUUUUUUUUUUCACUGUGGGAAUCCUGAGCAAAAUUUAGACACCAUUUUCCCAUCUAGGACAACACAGGGCAAUAGGCAUAUGCAGGAACUGGAAAAGUGAAAGAUGUGUCCAAAAAGCAUCUAAAUGUGUAAAAUACCACAAGGUGCAGGACUGCGGGACAGCCCUUCUUUUCCACCCGAGGUAGCUCUCAAGACAGUUUGUUUGCUCCUCUUUUUUUUUGUUUCUUUUUGGCUCAACGUUGUACCAUCAGGUUAUCAGCACUUCAUAAGGGCUGGGAGGAACACGGCUGAAGUGGGAGGGGGGUUUCUGUGACCUUACCUAAAAAUCACCCUGGGUGUUAGUGCCAUGAUCAGCGACGGAAACUGCAGGGACAGCUCCUCUGUUGCUGUGGAUCUAGAGUUAGGAUUAUGCCCCCAGGUGCCCUGAGGCCAGGCAAGAUGGCCUAGGGAAAAUGAAGACACCCAGCAGAAUGAAAGGAGGAGGUAUUUGGGGAUAUCAGAGUUUAACGUGCCCAGACUACAAGCGUGCUUCAGCUGCAAAAUGUGCUCAGGUUGCCAGACUCAGCUCUGUGAAGACUGCAUCAUAACAAUGGGCUGAAGUUGAAACUUGCUCUUAAAGAAGGAAUUUUGAACCACGGCCAGUUAGAAAUCCGUCCUGGACUUACAAAUGGAGACAUCUCUAUGAUUUUUAGCAACACAAACUGCAGCAGAACAUAAGCAGGGGAAAUCCCGUACGUAAGAAGCAUGCCUUGAGAUUCACAAGCACUUCAUAGUAUUUAGAAGCAGUCAGUGUAGCAAAACUUGUCAGCUCUUGCAAGCAAUAAAGGCUCCAUUGCAGCAGGGAUGCAGCAACAUCUCCCAUAUGAAAAAACCCUCAAUCUUUCCCCACUUCAUCCUAAAGUCCAACUCUACCCUGGCCAAUGUUUCUGCCUGGUGUUUCCUCAUAAUCCUGUUGGUUGCGCUCAACUGAUCUAUGUUUGAAGCCAGCAAACUAAUUGCACUCUGCUUAAGCCACUAAGAUUUAGAAGGAAAAUUUGCAUAGGUACCAUUGAAUUUACAGUGUAUUUCCUGUGCAGAAAUGUGUCAUUUACAAUGAAUACUGACUAUUCAAAUUGGUGACUAAUCACAAAACAGAAUUACUACAGACGAGGACAAAUUAAGCAUCUUCUCUCUAUUCCUCUAGGUGGUGCUGCAAUAUAGUAUAAGAAGACCAUCACAAUUGCAAGUAUUAUUUUACAAAGCUGUGUCCCACUCAGAGGGCUAUGCAUCCUAUUUACUUUGCUUGCCUGUUUGCAUCCAGCUGUCUUCCUUUCAUAGCAUCCCCCAGAAACAGGUUAAAAGCAUACCUUGUCUUACUGGCUCCCCUGUGGUUGCUGAACACGGCUCCACAGGUUAUUCCUAUCAAUGUGUCUCUCUGUAUGCUUGAGGAGUAAACCUGCUGCACAAGGCAAAUAGAAGGAACUAAGAAAUUCAACUCUUGCUAAGUGAAAGGGAGGGGACAGGGAAUUCUUAUACUUACGUUAUACAGUCUCCCAAAUUAGGAGUACUUCAGGAUUUAUAUUCUCAGCUCCCUCCUUCAGAAGCAGGUGUGACCAUAGCACAGGGACUCAUCUUCCUACUGCACAUUUUUAUCUGUUUUAAUGCAUUUAUAGUUCUUAUGCUACUCUACGUCUGCCCUGGCAGCCCAAAGUCCAAAGGAACUUACUGAGCAACAACUACACUAAUUAAACUCUUCCUGUUUAACACCUAUAGUGACUUCUUGGGCUGUGGUGGAACAUCAUCACCUUAAGAUGAAGAUAUUCCCAAUCCUGCAGGUCAGAGUAACAGUACACAUACCCUUUAUGUCUGCAAUGGAGAACUAGCAUAUUUUGCAAAUAAAGGUGGUGGUGACAGCAGCUAAGAAAUGACAUUAACAGUUACAAAGCCAUUAACGUGAUGAUGGAACUGAAACUUGGGAAGGAGCCGUGCUGCCCGCACCCCCUGUGCCCUUUGCUCAGCAUGCUUCAAAAGGAGAGUCCUUUAACAAAUGGGCUGGCAGCUCAGAAUGGAGUCAUGAGGCCAAAGUCAAGGCUGUACAGAGUCCAAGGCAAAUGGAAGAGAAUUUACACUUCCCCGUAUUUCCUCCCGAUGUUGUAGAGCUCCCCCUCAAACCUGGCUGGCAUGACGUGGUCCUUCUGUCUUCAGAGCCCCUG
rnacentral:lncRNA from 1 species